AUGGAACUUUUUGGUUCUGCAUCUUUGCAGUUAAAAGAAUAUUGGCAGAGGAAGAGCCCUGGCGUUCCAGCAGGAGCUAACAGGAAAAAGAAAAUCAAUGGCAGUAGCCCUGACACAGCCACUUCUGGUGGUCACCGCUCACCUGUGGAUUCAGCAACAGGUGUCUAUAGGGAGGGCCCUGUGUCAUCUACUACCCUGAAAGAUCUAGAGGUUCGCACAUUGAAGGAGGAGAAGAAGCGUGAGAUACAUCGGGUACAGAAGCUUGGGAGGAGCUUGUUCAAACUCAAACACCAGAGGGGUAAGAUGGGGCUGGCAUGACCUGGGAGCAGGACUGGCAUCAGAGGACUGUGGGGGUGGCUUAGAACGCCCCAGGGAGGUGGGUGGAUGGAAGGGCUUUGAGGCAGAGGGAGAGAGGUCUGUGCCAGGAGAGCUGCAGGCCUUGUCAUCUGCUUGAGCCUUGGUGUCCCCAUCAGCAAAGAGGGAGGAGUGCCCAUUGUCAGCCACCCACAGUGCUCUCCAUUGAAAGUGGCUUGGAAGAUUAGCUACCAUCUGGGUGCGAGGAAUCCUUAGCAGUGAGGCAAGUUUGGGAAGCCUGAGAGGAGGAGCUCUGCACCAAUGGAGAUUUUUUUUUUUUUUGAGAAUCCGAGAGACCCUUAUGUCUGUUUCCUUUCUAGCUAAACCCAGGGCCCAG
rnacentral:lncRNA from 1 species